GUCAGGUGCAGUGGCGCAUGCCUGUAAUCCCAGUGACUAGGAGGCCGAGGCAGGAGGAUCGAGAGUUCAAAGCCAGCAUCAGCACUUAGUGAGGUGCUAAGCAACUCAGUGAGACCCUGUCUCUA
rnacentral:sRNA from 1 species